rnacentral:lncRNA from 1 species
UCACAGAAGCUGGCCAAUCUCUUGCAUCACUCCUGUAACCUCCAUAAGGUCCCAUUAAUGAACCUACGCCCAUGAUUGGGGCACCAGCACUUGGAAUAUAUGCUCCUUCAGAUCUUUGGAUAGUUGCUGAGGACAAGAGUAGGUGUUGGGACCGUGAGGGAUUAUCAUGAAGACGACAUGCCAGCUGAUAAAGGGCCUUCUUGACUACUGGACCUUCUCCAGAUAUCUGAAACCAUAUUUUUAUACACUAUAACCAAUCAACUAUAAAAUAUAACAAUGUACAUCAGAAAAAAAAUAUAGCAUAUUGACAUUCCAGAAUCAGAAUCUGAUUAUUGUGCUUGCUAAUUUAGUACUACUAAAUGAUUACAAGUCAAAAACAGACUGUAUGUUUACAAUAAUGCACUGUUGCAAGAUCCAACUAACAUAAGCCUAAGAAAACUUCUAAUAUUAAAGAUUUCUUAGUUAUGUAUUUAGCAUGAAAUAUUAAGAAUUACUAGUUCAAAGAGGCAAAUAAUUAAUACAAAACUAUAUAAUCACGAAAAAAACUUUAGAAGUAUAGUUUACUGAACCCAGGCUUAAUCUUGCGAAUACCCCUCUCCUCUUGGUAAUAAGAGGUUAAGGGUUUAAAGCCCAAUGGUGGCAGGUGGUUAUGGAUCUAUAUUUAUGUAAUUGAACUUUACAAAUAGAAUGAGAGAGUAUAUCAUAUCGUCAUACACUGUCCUAGUGCAAUGUCAAAAAAAACAGGGUAACCAAGGCCAGAAUUUCUCAUGAAGCUGCUGCAUUACCUGAAGAAGCUCGUCUGAGUUUGAAGCACAAGUUGGAAGAUGUUGUUCACUGCUAAGGACCCGUAUCUGUGCACGAGUUUCACUACGAAUAGUUUGAAUUACUUGUCCACCCUUUCCGAUCACACAACCAAUCUGAUCUGAUGGAACCAGCAUUCGCACAGUGACUUGGUGAGGUUCCUCAAAUUCAUCAUCAGCAGGUGCGUCCUCAGCGACAAUUCGAUCAUGAACCUUGAAAAGAGCAUCCUGAGCAGGUGAAACAAGAUCUCCACUAUCUCCGAAGCUAUUAGUUUCCUCACUAGAACUAUAAAUUAUGACAACACGCUCUUCACAACCUGGCACGGUCUCAUUAAUUCUUAUUUUUGCCCGAGUUUCUUGCCUUAACUGCUUUGCAAUAUCGCCU